GCCAAGCCAAGGCGCACGCACGCACGCACGCACGCAUCUGCCCUUCCGUUCCGUUCCCCACUCCAAGCUGCUGGCAGAUUUCUCUCCACGCUGCCGGCUGCUGUCCUUCGCUAAUCAUGCCGAGGAAAAGCGGGGAGGAGAAGAGACUUGCGCUGACAAGUUGGUGGCGGCGAGCGGGCGCCGGCACCACGGAACGGUGCGUGCCUGGCAUCGACGGCCAGGGGACGCCAAGGCUUCCGAUUCGUCGUGGCAAGAGCCAGGAGCACGUACGGGCUGGCAGCUGAAGUGGAUGGGCGGGGCGAGCGGCCGGCAGCUCGGCCGUCGCCGUCGCGGCCGUUCGCGUGCACCUCGUUCGCCCGUCGUUGCAUUUAUAUCGAUGGGCGCCAAGGAAGAUGGCUGGUUGGUUGUUGCAGACUUGCAGUGCUAGCUAGCUGCAGGGGAUUUGCGUGCGCACGUCAUGAGAUGAGACUCCAGUUGGAUGGAAGAGCCGCAGCAGAAUAUAUGCGCGCGUCAUGGGAAUGACUGGGUUGGCAUGGCCGCCCGCGGAGGCGGACCGAUCGGCGGUGUCGUGACGAGUGACGGUGUCCAGGUGCACCUCCUCCGAUCCUAUAUACCCUAUGUCUAAAUGCAUAAUAAUAUUUAUGUAUUCGAGCGGUUGAUGAACUGCGACAUGCAUGUACGGCAGUACGGUUUUCCUUAUCUCUAAUCCUAUGACUCGAGCUUACUCACAAGUAGUUUUAUCUAGGCAUUUGUUUAUUGGUGCUAGCUAUAAACUCCGUACUUCGCAGCGUGCUUGAUUCAUUGCAUGUCAACUUAAGGUCACACAAAGUGAUGGAGAGAACAGAUCAUCGGUGCGCAAAAAGGAGUGCUGAAUUCUGUGAGCUGAAUUGAAGUGCAUUUUUGAAAUCUGAAUUCUGUGAGCGCUCAUCUAUUUGUCAGCCUGGGUCAAACAAAUUACUAUUUAUUUUAGCUUUUCUACGUACAUAGUUUUUGUUACGUAUCUAAACAUAAUAUAUAUAGAUGCAUAGUAAAAUCUAUGUACCUAAAAAAGUUAAAAUGAAUUGUAAUUAAUUUGGGAUGGAGGGAGGCGUGCAGUACCUUUUCACAAAAGGGAGAAAAUAGCAAGGCGCGCGUGCUCAGCUUUCUACGAGAAACUUUGUCAAAAAAAAAUGGAGCUGCCUGUAUGUUUUGUACCCUAACGAUCUUUAGCACACUUGGAGGCAACACACACCAAGAGACCGUUGGGUACGGUCUUCACCCGACAGCUAGGAACGCAAUUGGGUAUGCAAUGGGUAGUUUUUGGGGCAAACCCCUUAUUUGGAUCAUUUCGUUCCACUUUUCUUGCAUUUCUGAAUUACUAGUUCGUUUUUGAUAAGUUUUUCGGUCAACCAAAUGCACGCGAGCUUCUCUUAUUCUGGUGCUCUACUAUUAGUAGUCCGCAGUGCAGUGAAGUUGCUCAGCCCACUUUAUUAAUUAUAUAAUUUUUUGUUGAUAGCCUGUUUAGAAUCUUAUUGAAGAGCAUGCCUCCAUUAUCCGUCUCCUAUAGAAGUCGUAGAAUUCGAUGCGUGCACGCGACUCUAUCGUGCCCGUGCUGCCUAGUGCGUGCAAUUGAUAAUCGCACUAACCAUAGCAUUGUUAUACCUACGCUUAACUACCCGGAAUCGGCAAUUUCUUCAGGAAAGGACAGGCUUCAAAGGAGUAGGCCAUAGAGGAGUGAACGAUAUGAUGAGAGGCGGAUCCAAGGCCCGGCGAGCCGGGGCGCCUGCCCGGGCUCCAUGAUGAGCGCCUGUGGACCUUCCUCAUAGGUCAGCCCGGGCAAAGAAAAGCGACCGCUGGCAGCCCAACUCAAAUACUCUCACUUCAGCCCAGCUGCCCAGGCUCCCCAGAAACUCUAGGUCCGCCACUGCUCCCUCUCGCUCUCACCAUCACUCCGGCCUUGCAUUUCAUUCUCUGUUUACUUUCAGAACGAUCCUCCUUUGGUUUUAUUUUUUACGAGUGAGAAAUACUUUGAUUUCAUUUUCAUUGUGCCAGUUCUAGUGAAGCCUGCACAAGAGCUCAUCCUACAAUGGAAGCUUUUUCUUAGCCGCCGCUUUAACAAGGUUAUUAAGAGCCUGAUUAAGCACCAGGCUGGACACGCGCUAAGAGCUAUGUGGUUUGCAUAAGGCUCAGUGGUGGGUUUAGGGUUUGUUUGGAUGCCGUGUCUUGUGAAAAACCAGAUUUCGUGGUACAAAAUGCUGGAGGAAGAAAGUCAAGCAGAAGUAUGAUGGCUCGCUCUGAACCAAGCGCAGCGGCAUACAACUGAGUAGCAUGUUCAAGUCUUCAGGCCCAAAGCGCAAAACGGACUGGGCCGUGAGCCUCGCCAGGAUAUGGCUCCCGAACAGGCCCGAAGGAUAAUACAUAAGGCAAACAUGUUCAUGCUAAAAACUCCAAUUAAUGAUUGACUUGCCAUGCGAUGGCCCUGAUUCUGGAGGCUGGUAUUCGUACUAGCUUGGAUGCACAGACUGUAUUACUGUAGAACAUCACUCAAGAAUUCAGAAAAGGGUAUGGACGUAUAUAUGGUACAAGUGUACAAGCACUGGCAUCGACAGAAGCCAGAACCAUGGGCACAGAAAACGGAUAAGAUUCUUCCGCAAAGAUUGACAGCGAAUUCACGGACAACAUAGUACAUAGGAACAGCUGAGGAGCUGUUGAGAGGACAAGGGUGAUUGCUCUUGUUCCCCCGGAAAAUGACUGGACGAAAAUUUCCUGGUCAGAUAGUGACCGAGACA